GAGCGCCUGGGAACCCGGAGGCCUGGAUCUGGGCCGAGAGUGGAACGGAGUCGGCGCCGCUGCCCCGGCCGUGCCUCCUGCCGCCCGCCCGGUCCCUCGACCUCUUCGUGCCUUCGCCCCGCUCUCCAAGCUCACUCGCUCCCCCGGAGCCCGCUGAGGCUUCUCUCCUCCUCUUUCGCCUCCUCCUCUUCCUCCGGUUUCCUCUCCUCCUCCUCUUCCUCCUUCUUCUCCUCCUCCUCUUCUUCCUCCUCCUCUUUCCCAACCUCCUCCCCCUCAGCCACCGCCUCCUCCACCACCACCACUCCCUCCGGGGCACCCGGGUCCCUGCAGAGUCCCGGGCCCGCGCGCCUCCACUGCAGCCCCCUGGAUCCCGAGCCUGCUGCACUGGAGCUUGUAGGAACGACCGACAGGCAGAUUCCUCACGCUCAGCGCUCCGCCGCAGCUGCACCCCGUGGCUCCGCGUCUAGGGAGCUGGGAUCGCCCCGGGAGAACGGCGAGGGUAAACCCUUUGGGAAACUGAUUGGAUGAGCCAAUUGGAUGAUUACCCCCAGCUGGCCAGGGUCACCACCCAAACAGUUCCUAGAUGUGGACAAUCUCUGAAGAUGGGUGAAGAUGCUUUUCUACUUUUGACAAUAAUGGUAUCAUUUCUGGGUGUGCUCCACAAGUGGCAGAGAAGGGAGUGUCCUUGAAUCUGAGCCAAAGGGAUCAAGAUUGAUGAGCAGAUCUAUGUCAAUCUAUCCAAGAUUUAAAGAACAGCCAAGGACGUGAGGAUCUGGAAAAUGAUAACCUGAUUGGGGGGAGGGGUGAAGAAUUCAUUCUCCAGGGAAAAUUCAAUUCCUAUCAAACAAAACAGGCUAUAUGAAAACCAGCCCAAAAUAGAGCAUUGUAAUGUAAACCAGUCUGUGCAUUUAAAAAAUCUUCUGAUUUCUGUAAUUCUUGAACACUUAACCUUUUGUUGCUAUUGUUGAGAACAAUUAAAAUUGAGUAUGUCAAAAAGACUUAGGUUAGUUUUAAGUUUAAUUUUUAUUAAUAAUUGCUGUUAAAUUAAAUUCAAAAACAUCACCCACUCCUUCAUAGCUCCCUGUGGAGACUAUCCUCACCCACUGUGGGAACUACUCACAAGAUAAUCUUCUCUGUUUUUUGAGUAUGCAAGGAUUUUGCCUUCCUGCCCAAAAAUGGUAUGGCCGUGAAGCUUUGGACAAUGAAAUGUGUGAAGUGACCCACCUGACAGAAACUUCAGGCCAGCAUGCAAUCUGCUCUAUCUUCUUCAUCUUCUUGUGGAUGCAAGUAUCUCGAUGAAGCCAUCACUGGUCCCAGAGUAUUAUGACCUGCAGACCCACAAUGGUUGGCGCUGUGGACUGAAUGUGGCUUGCCUCCUCCCAAGCUCUUGUGGAAUUUGGAAGUCAUUGGGGGUAGCGUUGGGAGGUGGGGCGUUUAAAGGGCGAUCAGGUCAUGAAGAGAGAGUCACUCAUUUCUCAAAGGAGAGGAUUAAUUCUCAGGAGAAGGGAGUUAUCGGGAAAGUGAUAAGUGACUGGUUUCCUUGGCUUUUCUCUCAUCCUCUUUUACCACCUGAUUCUUUCUGGCCUCCCACCAUGUUAUAACUCAGCACACGAACGUGGUACAUGAAGCCAAGCCAAUGCUGCUACCAUGUUCUUGGACUCCCAGCUUCCAAAACCAUGGAGAAAAAUAAAAUUCUUUCUUUUAUAA